CCGAAGGCCGCCCCAACACUUUGGGGACGCUGGAGAGCCUUACUUUCUCAUGACAGGAUCCCAGAGUGGUACCAGGAUCUCUUUAAUCUUCAGCAUCAGGGGUCUCUUCCAUUUCCUCAGAACAUACCUUCCUCCUCGGAGUGGAUGAAGUCCCAGCUCCAUCAAGUGUUGUACAAGUUCUGCCGCCUCCGGCCUCAGCUGGAUGUGAACACAGAAUCAACCUGUUCUGGCCCCUGCCGAUUCUGCAGCGUGGGGGAGGAUGAGCUCUAGUGCCAUGACGGUGAAACUGAAGUUCUCCAUCUCUCUGCUCUGUGGGCUGCAGCGUGGGUGACACAAUGACCUCAGGCUGUGUGCUUCCAGGUGAGAAAGAAAGCUUUGUGGGAACUUGCAAGCCUAUGUGUCCCAAUGUGGUCUUCCAACCACAGAGAGGUGAGUCUCAUACACAAUGGUCAGUAGAGUUGCCCCAGAAGCUUCUAGCUGCCGCAAACGUAGGCCUAGAGUUCUUUUCUUUUUUUUUUUUUUUUAAGAAGUUGCUUUUUUAUUUUUAAGGAAACUUAAAUAAAGAACUUAGAAAGUGUGUGAAACCA
rnacentral:lncRNA from 1 species